GCCCGCAUGGCAUAGUGGUUUGAGUGUUGCACUACGACUCUGGAGACCAGGGUCCAAUUCCUAGUUUGGCCA